UUUGUUUGCAAGGGUUUUUGUGUUAUCUCGGUUGUUGCGUUGCGGAUAAAUAAUUUUUAUUUUUUUCUUAAAAUAUUUUAUUUGUAAUAAAUUUAAAUUAGCUGAAGUUUUUUUUUAUUGAAUAAAAAAAAAUUAACUUUUUAUAAAAAUAUUUGUUCGAAAAUAAAAAAAAACAUUUUAUAACCUAAACGGAUUUUAAAUAUACAUACGUACAUACAUAUAUUAUAUACAUAAUAUAUUUAUAAAAUUCUUAAGUAUAUAGCAUACUAUAAAAAUUCUUAUUUUAAAAAGUGAUUAAAUAAAAAAAAAAACGAGAAAAAAAACAUUGCUUUGGUUUUGAAAUUUCAAAUUCCAGCACAGAAAUUUUAUAUGAAUAUUUCAAGUGGUUUCUUUUUUUUAACAAAAUUCUAGAUGCGGGACAAGUUUUGUUAGUGUUAAUAAAUUGCACAUAAAACAAAAACGACGCUACAUUAAUCAUACUGCACAAUUUUAAGCAUUGGAAUUUAAUCCUAUUUUUGUUUUCAUUAUGUGUUUAAACUACAUAGGUUAGGUAUAUGCACCUACUUAUUGAAGUUGAAUAGCUUUAGUGAUUUAAGAAAAAUUUUCAAAAUAAAAUUUCUAUUGAUAAAAAAAAAAUAUAAACUAUUGAAUUUACUGAAUUGAAAAAAAAUCCAGUUUCGAUAAAAAAAAAAACUUUUCAUUGCAAACAAUGAGAAAAUUUAUUUAAAAUAAAAAUUUGAGACAUCCAUCACCAACUUAGUAUUUAUGUGUAAAAAAAACAAAAGAAAAUAAAAAUUGUGCAGAUAUUUAAUAUUUUUAAUGAACUAAGAAUUUCUGGAAAUAAUUGGAUAACGCAGAUUGAGGAAAGAAUUAAUACUGUAUGAGUUUUUGUAAAUUGGCAACACGAAACAGCAAAAAAAAAAAAAAUAUUAAAUAUUACGAUAUUCUGGUAACCUAAAAUCAUAGCCUUCAAAAUAGAAACGACCAAGAAGAUUUUAAACUGUUUUAAAAAAUUUAAGAAAAAAAAUAUCUAAAUAAAGAUAAAAUGUUAAAAUUUAUACGUGGGAAGGGUCAACAGCCAACGGCUGAACGACAAAAACUACAAAAAGAAUUGUUCGCCUACAGAAAGACUGUACAACAUGGAUUUCCACAUAAACCAUCUGCAAUUGCUUAUGAUCCUAAAAUGCAAUUAUUUGCAAUUGGUACACAUUCUGGUGUAAUAAAAGUAUUUGGAAGGCCUGGUGUUGAGUUUUAUGGACAACAUAAUCCAAUGCCCGGUUCAAAUGCAUCAGAUUGCACAGUACAAUUAUUGGAAUGGGUACCAGGUACUGGUAGAAUUCUAUCAUUAACAGCUGGUAAUCAAUUAAUAUUAUGGGAACCAGCUGGUAUUAUGUUAAUACCAAUAAAAACAUUACCAUUCGAUGGAAAAUUAAAGAAAGUUUCAUCAUUAUGUUGUUCAUAUGCAAAAGAUAUUGUAUGGAUUGGUACUGAAGGUGGUAAUGUUUAUCAAUUUGAUUUAAAAUCAUUUUCGGUGAAAGAACCUGUUAUAUAUCAUGAUAUUGUAUUAGAACAAGUACCACCAACAUAUAAAUUGAAUCCGGGUGCAAUUGAAUCAGUUAAACAAUUGCCUAAUUCAUGGUCAAAGCUAUUAAUUACAUAUAAUCGGGGAUUAUGUGUACUAUGGGAUUUAGAAUUAAAUUCUGUAAUACGUUCAUUUAUUGCACCCGGACAUGGUCAAAGUGUUGGUAUUCAUGUUAAUACAAAUGGUGAUCAAUUUACAUGGUAUCAUGCGGACGGUUCAUAUGCAACAUGGAAUGUUGAUAUGGAUGUACCACCGAAAGAUCAAAAUUAUGUCCCAUAUGGACCGGAUCCUUGUAAAAGUAUUAAUCGUUUGAUAAAAGGAAAACGAAAUGGUAAAGAUAUGGUAAUUUUUUCGGGUGGCAUGCCGAGAUCUGCAUAUGGUGAUCAUAAUUGUGUAUCAGUACAUUGUACAGAUGGAACAAAAAUAUGUUUAGAUUUUACAUCAAAAGUUAUUGAUUUUUUUGUUACAUUCCAAGAAGAUGAUGAUUCAAAUCAAACAAAUAAAGUUGAAUCAUUAAUUGUUUUACUUGAAGAGGAAUUAUGUGCAUUUGAUUUAACAAAUCCAAAAUUAACAAUAUUAAAAACACCAUAUUUACAUUCAUUGCAUGCAUCAGCAAUUACAUGUAAUUAUUUAGCUUCACAAGUAACAAAAGAAGUUUACGAGAAUAUUGUGAAAGCUGGUAAAAAACAGGAAACAAAUAUCAGUGAUAUGGAAUGGCCUAUAAAUGGUGGUUAUUUAACAGAUGAACAUGAUGAACCAACAGAAUAUGAAAUAUUAUUAACUGGGCAUGAAGAUGGUUCAGUUAAAUUUUGGGAUUGUACUGGUGUUGUUUUAAAACCCAUUUAUGAAUUUAAAACAAAAUCAUUGUUUGGGUUAUUUGAUGUGAAUGAUUAUGUUUAUCGUAUAUCCUGGCAGUCUGAUUUUAACACAAGAUUAUCCUUAAAUAAAAGUCAUGGUGAUGAUUUAGAUGGCGAUCCACCACAGGAUAAUGAACCUGCAGAUGAUUCAGAGCCUCCAUUUCGAAAAGCUGGUAUAUUUGAUCCAUUUUCAGAUGAUCCACGUUUAGCUGUUAAAAAAGUUACAUUAUGUCCAAAUAGUGGACACUUUGCUGUAGCUGGUACAGCCGGACAAAUAGUUUUUGCCCAAUUUGCUGAUCGUGAAAAACAGAAAGCUCUUAAAGUUACAACAAUGAAUCUAGUUAGUGAUCGCGAUGGAUUUAUAUGGAAAGGGCAUGAACAGUUAAAAGUCCGAUCGCAUUUAUAUGAUGAAAAUGCUGAACCUAUUGGUGACAAUUCAAUUCACGUUGAUGGUGUUUUACAAGUUCUGCCACCAGCUGCUAUAACUUGCAUAUCAAUGGAGAGUAAUUGGAACUUAUUAACAGCUGGAACUGCACAUGGUCUCAUUUUAUUUGAUUAUAUUAAUCAUCAUCCAGUAUUUCAUAAAUGCACUUUAAAUCCAAAUGAUUUAACUGGAACUGGAGAACAAUUAUCAAGAAGAAAAUCAUUCAAAAAGACUUUGAGAGAAUCUUUUAGGAGAUUACGAAAGGGUAGAUCUACAAGAAAUAAUCCAACAAAUGCUACACAAGCUGCAAUCGACACACGUCCAAUAGAAAGGCAAGUUGAAGCUCGACCAGCUGACGAUGGAAUGGGAUCUAUGGUUAGAUGUUUGGUUUUUGCCAAAACGUUUAUUACAAAUAUGCACAAUACCGUCCCUACUUUAUGGUCAGCAACAAAUGCCAGCUGUGUUUCUGUUUUCCUUUUACACAUUCCGCAAUCAACUGAAAAUGAAAAUGAGCAACAAAAACGCAUGGUUACAGCACAACUUGCGAAAGAAAUACAACUAAAGCAUCGAGCUCCAGUUGUUGGCAUAAGUAUUUUUGAUAAUAAUGGUAUUCCUUUGGAAAUGACUGGUUCAGGAGCUGCCCCGCAUCGAGUUUUAAUUGCAUCUGAAGAGCAGUUUAAAGUUUUUUCAUUACCCCAAUUAAAACCUGUUACAAAAUAUAAGUUAACUGCACAUGAAGGUGCGCGUGUUCGUCGUUUACAAUUCGCAACAUUUUCAUGCAAAAUACCAUCUGAAUUAAUACAACAUGGUACAAGUCCUAGAAAAAAUGAGCCUGCUGAAUUAAACAGUGCUGACGAUAACUCAAGUGAAAGUCAAAUUCAUCGAGAAAUCGAUUUGAUGUGUUUGACAAAUUUAGGUGACAUAUUGAUUUUAACAAUACCAGAAUUAAAACGUCAAUUAAAUGCUGCAGCUAUUCGACGUGAAGAUAUUAAUGGUAUAUCAUCAUUAUGCUUCACAAAUCAAGGCGAAGCUUUAUAUAUGUUAUCAUCUUCCGAAGCACAACGCAUUAGUUUGUCUACUGCUAAAAUUGUUGCUCCAGAUGGAGCUAUUGAUUUAGAAGCAAUUGAGGAAAAAGAAGAUGAAACAGUUAGUGUAAAUGAACAAGAUACAAUGGAAGUUGCAUCAAAUGAAAGUAUUAAUGGGUCUGCUGCAACUCCUAUAACAAUUGUUAAAGAAAAAUUAAAAGUAAUUGAAAGUGAACCCCAUAAAAUAAGUUCAGAAAAAAUUCCUGCUCAAGAAACCGUAACGUCAACAGUAACCACAACGACAACAACUGCUGGUAUAGGAUUAACGAAUGGUUAUAAUGGUGAUACUUCACCAAAUCGAGCGAACGAAACAAUUUCGAGUUCAAUUGGCGAUAUAACAGUAGAUUCAGUGCGAGAUCAUUUGAAUUCAACUGUAACAACAUUAUGUUCAACGACGACAGAAGAAACUGUUGUUACAACCCAAAAGUCGACUUCUGAACAUUCAAAAGGAUUUUUCCAUCGAAAAUUGGUCGGCUUUCGGUCUUAAGUACACAGACAAAUCAGCAAAUAACUUCAGUUAAUAUGAAAGACAUCACAGAUUUUAAUAUAGCAAAUUUAAAGGAUUUAGCACCGCUCUGUACUACCACCGAAACAAAUACAAGUUCAGUAGUUAUUAAAUCAAUUAUAACAAGUAUUUCUCACGAUAAACAGAAUGGUGAAACUGAAACAAAGACUACAACAACAAGAAAAGAAAGUCAAUUUUAAAAGUUUACAAUAAAAAUAAAUAAAAAAGAAAGAAAAAAAACAAAUAGAAAUUUUAUAAUAUUUAAAUUUAAGAAAAUUAAAAAAAAAAAAAACUAUUUUUUAAAAGUAAUUUGUUAACAAUAAUUGUUCAAAAUAUAAGUAUAUGCAUAAAUAUAAAUACACAAGCAUACAUUUUCAACACCCCUUUACUUAAUAAACAAUAUUAUUUUGUUAAGCUAUUUAAUAAGUCUCUCUAUAAUUAUCAAAUUUUUUUCUAAACUGAUGAAAGUAAUUUGCAUUUGGUUUCAUAGUUUUUACCUUUUUCCUUUUAUGUCAAGGUUUAUAAUAGAUGCACAUUGAAUAUUUUUGUUUUUUCUUAUUAAAUUGAUCAAAAAAUUAAAUUGAAUAAAAAAAUACAAUUUUACGUUGUAGUUUUUUGAUAAAUCAUCUUCUGCGUAAUAUCAUAAACCUUGUUUAAAAAUUGUUGCAGUAAAAAAAAAACUAUACAAAAAGUAAAAUAAAAAAAAAUUCAUUGACCGAAAGUAUUUCAUAUUUUGUUAUAAAUUUAGAAAUAUUAAUAGUUUUAUAUAUACAAAAAUACAUAUUAUACAAUUGUUAGAAAAUAAGGUUUUUAAUUUUUUUUUAAUAAGAGAAAGAGAAUCAUUUAAAAAUGUUUUUUUUUUUUAAAAUAUAAAUACAAAAAUUGGCAGAAAAUAGAUUAAUAGAACUUUUAUUACGAAAAUGUAAAAGUUAUUUAAAAUAAUAAAUCGUUAAGUAAUUUUUGUACAAUUAAAUAACACUACAUAAUUCUUGUUCAUUAUAAUUUCAUUUCGACAUUAUAUAACUAAUGCAUGCGUUUUUUUUUUUUGCUUGGAUUGACAUCUUAGCCUAAACCAUCAUAGUUAUUUUUGCAUCGAAUCUAUUUUCAAUAAUUAUAUUAUCAUAAAUUAAUAAAUUGAAAUAAAAUUCAAAUAUUUCGUUAUUAAAUAUGAAAUUAAAAUUCAAUAAUAAUUUUUUUUACUUGACAUAAUAAUAUUUAUAAAUAUUAUGAGAAUCAAUUAUGUUAAAAAUUUUUUGCUACAAAAAAAAAAUUCCAAAAUUUCGGACUCUUACAAUAUUUUAUUCGAUUACUAAGCUUCCUUUAUUCAAUAAAAUUCAUAGAAAAAUUAAAAUUUUUUUAAAAUUACUUCAUUUAUCAUCGUCGUUAGCAUCAAUUUUAAAAUUAAUUUUGAAAAAAAAAUUUAACUUUCUUGUAACCU